rnacentral:rRNA from 1 species
ACACAUGCAGUCGAGCGGUAACAGAGAGAAGCUUGCUUCUCUGCUGACGAGCGGCGGACGGGUGAGUAAGACUUGGGAAUUUGCCUUUAGGCGGGGGACAACCACUGGAAACGGUGGCUAAUACCGCAUAAUGUCUACGGACCAAAGUGGGGGACCUUCGGGCCUCACACCUAAAGAUGAGCCCAAGCGGGAUUAGCUAGUUGGUGGGGUAAAGGCUCACCAAGGCGACGAUCCCUAGCUGUUCUGAGAGGAUGAUCAGCCACACUGGGACUGAGACACGGCCCAGACUCCUACGGGAGGCAGCAGUGGGGAAUAUUGCACAAUGGGGGAAACCCUGAUGCAGCCAUGCCGCGUGUGUGAAGAAGGCCUUCGGGUUGUAAAGCACUUUCAGUGGUGAGGAAAGGGUGAUAGUUAAUAGCUAUUACAGUUGACGUUAGCCACAGAAGAAGCACCGGCUAACUCCGUGCCAGCAGCCGCGGUAAUACGGAGGGUGCAAGCGUUAAUUGGAAUUACUGGGGGUAAAGCGUACGUAGGCGGGUGUGUUAAGCUAGAUGUGAAAGCCCCGGGCUCAACCUGGGAAUAGCAUUUUGAACUGGCACGCUAGAGUCCUGAAGAAGGUGGUAGAAUUUCCAGGGGAGCGGUGAAAUGCGUAGGUUUUGGGAAGGAAUACCGGUGCGAAGGCCGCCCACUUGUCCGAAGAUGGCGGUGAGGUUAGAAAGCGGUGGGAGCCAACCAGGUUUGGUUACCUUGUUGUUCCAGCCGUUAACGGUGUUAAAUUAGUGUUUGUGGCCUUUAGGACUUAAGUAAGCAAGUUACGCCAUUAAUUGGCCGCCUUGGGAAGUAGGGCGCCAAGUUUAAAAUUAAAAGAAAUGGCGGGGGGCCGCCCCAACCGGUGGGCCAGGUGGUUAAUUUGGAGGAAACGGGAGGACCUUUCCCUUCCCUGACCUUCCAUUAAUUUUCCAAAGAAGGGAUUAGUCCUUUGGGAACCAUUAGGCCGGUUGUGCCAUGGCGGUGUCAAGUUGUUGUGUGGGGAGGUUGGGUUAAUUCCGGCAAGAGGGCCACCCUUAUCCUUAAGUGCCCGCAGGUAAUGCUGGGAACUCUGGGGAGACUGCCGGUGAUAAACCGGAGGAAGGUGGGGACGACGUCAAGUCAUCAUGGCCCUUACGGGAUGGGCUACACACGUGCUACAAUGGCGCGUACAAAGGGCAGCGAACCUGCGAAGGUAAGCGAAUCUCAUAAAGUGCGUCGUAGUCCGGAUUGGAGUCUGCAACUCGACUCCAUGAAGUCGGAAUCGCUAGUAAUCGUGGAUCAGAAUGCCACGGUGAAUACGUUCCCGGGCCUUGUACACACCGCCCGUCACACCAUGGGAGUGGGCUGCACCAGAAGUGGUUAGUUUAACCUUCGGGAGAACGUCACCACGGUGUG